rnacentral:rRNA from 1 species
GAUGAACGCUGGCGGCGUGCCUAAUACAUGCAAGUCGAGCGAACAGACGAGGAGCUUGCUCCUCUGACGUUAGCGGCGGACGGGUGAGUAACACGUGGAUAACCUACCUAUAAGACUGGGAUAACUUCGGGAAACCGGAGCUAAUACCGGAUAAUAUAUUGAACCGCAUGGUUCAAUAGUGAAUGACGGUUUUGCUGUCACUUAUAGAUGGAUCCGCGCCGCAUUAGCUAGUUGGUAAGGUAACGGCUUACCAAGGCAACGAUGCGUAGCCGACCUGAGAGGGUGAUCGGCCACACUGGAACUGAGACACGGUCCAGACUCCUACGGGAAGCAGCAGUAGGGAAUCUUCCGCAAUGGGCGAAAGCCUGACGGAGCAACGCCGCGUGAGUGAUGAAGGUCUUCGGAUCGUAAAACUCUGUUAUUAGGGAAGAACAAAAGUGUAAGUAACUAUGCACGUCUUGACGGUACCUAAUCAGAAAGCCACGGCUAACUACGUG